GGCGAUUGCUGACGUGGUGGAUCCGUCAGAAUUGGCUCGAUGCCAGGGGUCGAAGUGUUCGGUUUCCGGAAAAACACCCGGUAUAUGCUUCCUUUUGCUUUCAUGUGUAUUUAUCGUAUGCAUCUGCAUCCACUGGGAAUAACUUAUUUUUCUAAUCAUCUCUCCAUUGUUUUUAUUGCCUACCAGGAUGUCUUUUUUCCUUGCCUUUAUUGCCACUCUGUAAUUCUUGGUCCAUCAGUUAUUGAUUUAGCUUGCUACAUGGUUGCUCAACAUCAGUUACUGCUUCUGCUAUCAUUGUCUUCUACUCUAUAGUUUUUCUUAUCCAGGUAUUGGCCUUACAAUCCCUGAUGUAUCCCAGCAUGUAUCUUUCCAUGGGUUUGAUGUUGCUAGUUUCUAUUUCCUUUGUAAGGAUCCAUGUUUCACAAUCAUGUGUCAUUACUGAUAAUAUGUACAUGUUGAAGAGUUUCCUUUUGAAACAUG
rnacentral:lncRNA from 1 species